rnacentral:snRNA from 1 species
GCAGUUAUCUAUGAAUGU